rnacentral:rRNA from 1 species
AUUGAACGCUGGCGGCAGGCCUAACACAUGCAAGUCGAACGAGUGGCGGACGGGUGAGUAAUGUCUGGGAAACUGACUGAUGGAGGGGGAUAACUACUGGAAACGGUAGCUAAUACCGCAUACCAUCGGAUGUGCCCAGAUGGGAUUAGCUAGUUGGUGGGGUAAAGGCUCACCUAGGCGAAGAUCCCUAGCUGGUCUGCGAGGAUGACCUGCCACACUAGAACUGAUACACGGGCCAGACUCCUACGGGAGGCAGCAGUGGGGAAUAUUGCACACUGGGCGAAAGCCUGAUGCAGCCAUGCCGCGUGUAUGAAGAAGGCCUUCGGGUUGUAAAGUACUUUCAGCGGUGAGGCGUUACCCGCAGAAGAAGCACCGGCUAACUCCGUGCCAGCAGCCGCGGUAAUUC